rnacentral:rRNA from 1 species
CAGAGGUCCCGAGCGUUGUUCGGAUUCACUGGGCGUAAAGGGUGCGUAGGUGUGAGGUAAGUCGGAUGUGAAAGCUCCAAGCUCAACUUGGAAAUGGCAUUGGAAACUACCUUGCUAGAGGGUUUGAGGGGGGACUGGAAUACUUGGUGUAGCAGUGAAAUGCGUAGAUAUCAAGUGGAACACCAGUGGCGAAGGCGAGUCCCUGGAAAACUCCUGACACUGAGGCACUAAAGCUAGGGGAGCAAACAGGAUUAGAUACCCUGGUAGUCCUAGCCGUAAACGGUGCGUAUUUGCUGUAAAAGGAAUCGACCCCUUUUGUGGCGUAGCCAACGCGUUAAAUACGCCGCCUGGGAAGUACGGUCGCAAGAUUA